AGGGUGAAGGGGUUGCAAUAAACUGGUGGCUGCGACUGUUUAAUAAAAACACAGCACUCUGCAAACACGAAAGUGGACGUAUAGGGUGUGACGCCUGCCCGGUGCCGGAAGAUUAAAUGAUGGGGUGCAAGCUCUUGAUUGAAGUCCCGGUAAACGGCGGCCGUAACUAUAACGGUCCUAAGGUAGCGAAAUUCCUUGUCGGGUAAGUUCCGACCUGCACGAAUGGCGUAACGAUGGCCACACUGUCUCCUCCCGAGACUCAGCGAAGUUGAAGUGUUUGUGAUGAUGCAAUCUACCCGCGGCUAGACGGAAAGACCCCAUGAACCUUUACUGUAGCUUUGCAUUGGACUUUGAACCGAUCUGUGUAGGAUAGGUGGGAGGCUAUGAAACCGGAACGCUAGUUUCGGUGGAGCCGUCCUUGAAAUACCACCCUGGUUUGUUUGAGGUUCUAACCUUGGUCCGUGAUCCGGAUCGGGGACAGUGCAUGGUAGGCAGUUUGACUGGGGCGGUCUCCUCCCAAAGGGUAACGGAGGAGUACGAAGGUACGCUAGGUACGGUCGGAAAUCGUGCUGAUAGUGCAAUGGCAUAAGCGUGCUUAACUGCGAGACCGACAAGUCGAGCAGGUGCGAAAGCAGGUCAUAGUGAUCCGGUGGUUCUGUAUGGAAGGGCCAUCGCUCAACGGAUAAAAGGUACUCUGGGGAUAACAGGCUGAUACCGCCCAAGAGUUCAUAUCGACGGCGGUGUUUGGCACCUCGAUGUCGGCUCAUCUCAUCCUGGGGCUGUAGCCGGUCCCAAGGGUAUGGCUGUUCGCCAUUUAAAGAGGUACGUGAGCUGGGUUUAAAACGUCGUGAGACAGUUUGGUCCCUAUCUGCCGUGGGCGUUGGAUAUUUGAAGGGGGCUGCUCCUAGUACGAGAGGACCGGAGUGGACGAACCUCUGGUGUACCGGUUGUGACGCCAGUCGCAUCGCCGGGUAGCUAUGUUCGGAAGAGAUAACCGCUGAAAGCAUCUAAGCGGGAAACUCGCCUUAAGAUGAGAUAUCCCUGGAGGCUUGACCUCCUUGAAGGGUCGUUCGAGACCAGGACGUUGAUAGGUCGGGUGUGUAAGCGCAGUAAUGCGUUCAGCUAACCGAUACUAAUUGCCCGUAAGGCUUGAUCCU
rnacentral:rRNA from 1 species